rnacentral:lncRNA from 1 species
CUGAGUUUAAGCUGAGAGUGACCAAAAUUAUCACUCCGUUUUAUCCUCUAGAAAGGAAAAUUCUUUCUUAACUUGUCACAGUCAAAUGUAUGGGUCUAGCUAGCCUCAGAUCUCCUUCUCCCCUCAGGUUAUCGCCAUGCCUCUUCUUCAUGCCUCCAGAUCCUUCAGCUCUGACGUUGGAUGGCAGCAACUAACAGCAGAGUCACUGAGAGGGAUGAGAUAGCUGAAUGCUUGGUACAUGAAACAAUGAAGAAGACCAUUGUCUUCUUGGUACAUGAAACAAUGAAGAAGACAAGUGUCCCAGUGGACAUUGCUGAUGAAAGAGGGUGGAGAUUGUCUACAGGAUGAUGUCCUCCUAUUCAUCAGCACUACGGUCUCCAGUAAUGGAAGCAGCCUGUGAAGGUUUCCUGAAUGCAAGAUCAGGCUACCACCUAAAGCAUCCUGCCUGGUGCUUUAGAUUCAAGCCUCCAACAAAAUAUUUUCAGAAGAACCUUCAUCCUUAAAUGUAAGCACUUCUCACUUUAACCCUUCAGUUCCUAAGCAUAAAGUGGGAUGGUCUUUAGUAAUGUUAACAGAAGUUGGAAGUAAAUACAAAAUGUUCUAAGGAGUGGUAAAUUUCUGGAGGUAAGUGUGAAACCAGCUCUAAGAGAGGAAACUUCCAGAAAUGCCAAGUGCUCAGGGUCCCAGUCUCUUCUGGACUCUGGUAGUAACUGUCAUCACAGUGAUACCCAAGCUGCAUAAAAACUCAGCAGAUGUCAAUACUCACUUAUCUAAUGGGCAUUAACUGGAUGUUCACAGUACCCUGAAACAGAAUAUAGUUCCUGUCUUGAAGUUGUUAGUUUAUUGCUGGCAUAUAAAUAGAUAACAUUCAUAU